GUGUAAGAUUUUAUACACAGCCUAUAUGUGGAAAUGCAUAAACUUAAGGUGCCAUAAGGUGCGUAAUAAGCUGCUCUCCGUUAUGCGUGCGAAUGAUUUCUGUAUUAAUGGGGUGGUGAAAAACAGCAAGCGUGUUUCCCUGUCCUUCCUCUGGAGAGGUGGAGGCUGUUUGCUUGGAGAUGUGGGUCGGAAGUACCGUAGUUUAUGUAUGCUAAUAUGGGAGUUGGGGGUUGUAGCUAGAUAUUUACGUUCAGUGGGAGCCGCCCUUCAUUCACCCACAUGGUUACCAACUGGUCGCCUUCGCGCCACUUUCCCAACCCCGCAAUCAUCUUUUUACGCAGCGUAUCUGGGCCACAAACGCACCCAUGGUCGGCUCGGGUGUCACUUCACGUCUCGUUUUAGUCCGCCGCUAGAAAAGUUUGCGGGAUAGUUGCGUAUUUAUUCGCCUCUUUUUGUCGGCGAGAGACUACACGGCAGCCCGAGCAAGUGAGCGAAGAUGGUGGAUUUCGGCUGAUCCACCAUCCACAAGGUCCAAGACCCUCAAGCCAAGUUUCGCCACGGAGCAGCGGGACCAUCUCUCCUGCUGUGAUCUGUCUGUGUAUUGUCAAAGUGCUUACAGUGCAGGUAGUACUAUGCAAUACCUACUGCAGUGGAGGCACUUACAGCAAUAUCCAGACACUGGUGUGGCGUGCCCGCUUUUAAUGUAACAUGUCGUUUUUUGAAGUACUGUCUUUGUGCUAAGGUGCAUCUAGUGCAGAUAGUGAAAUAGACUAGCACCUACUGCCCUAAGUGCUCCUUCUGGCAUAAGGGGCUGUGAUAUGCGCCACCAGACAAUAUUUUUUUUUUUAUCUCUAAUUGGGCUCUUAAUAUCUCGCAGUUCUCUGCUAGUUUUGCAUAGUUGCACUACAAGAAUAGAUGAGUUGUGCAAAUCUAUGCAAAACUGAUGGUGGCCUGCUUGCUCUCCACCUGUUAGAUUUUUAUUUUGUUUUUGGGGGUGUCGUAUCAAAUAUAAUCUGAUAUAAUACACCAGUAAUGUUUUUUUUUUUUUUAAAUAAACCAGGAGUGUUUGACAGCUCGCACCCGGAGAUCUCAGUUUCAGCAGUACUAAAGUGCUUAUAGUGCAGGUAGUGUGUUUUCCCUAUCUACUGCAAUGUAAGCACUUGAAGUAUUUCUAACUGCAUCUUUCUAAACCCAGAUGUGUAUUUAUAAAAAAAAAAAAAAAAAAAAAAAAGCAACAUGGACAGACCUGUUAAUCAUUGCCUGGUCAGUUUUGCUGGUUUGCAUUCAGCUUUAACAGAUGUUUGCUGUGCAAAUCCAUGCAAAACUGACUAUGCUGAUGAACUGUUUCCUACAGAGUGGGCUUGGGGUUUAUUUUUUUUUUUCCCUCGGAGUGUGUGGUGGGUUUCUGCACAUGGCUUCACUGUCUGGAGAUGUCCCUUCCCGUGCAGGUGGGGAUUUGUAGCAAUGCUGUGUACCUGGAGGGUAUUGCACUUGUCCCGGCCUGUAUAGGAACGAGGAGACGGAGCUGACCUGGACUUUUACCCUCAUUAAUAAAAACUACUGCAUUCGACUGUGAAAUGUUUUCUCUCUUUGACAAUCGAUGUAAUGCAUCUGUUUUAUGCUGGUUAAUUGUAAUGUUGCUUGAAACUUAUUAAACACUUUUUAAAGACA